rnacentral:misc_RNA from 1 species
UACGUACUGGGCGAACGUUAUUCGGAAUCACUGGGCUUAAAGGGUGCGUAGGCGGUUUAGUAAGUAGCGUGUGAAAUGCCAGGGCUCAACCUUGGCACGGCGCUCUAAACUGCUAAACUUGAGUGAGGUAGGGGUGUACGGAACUUCCGGUGGAGCGGUGAAAUGCGUUGAUAUCGGAAGGAACACCGGUGGCGAAAGCGGUACACUGGGUCUAAACUGACGCUGAGGCACGAAAGCUAGGGUAGCGAACGGG